rnacentral:rRNA from 1 species
CCUAGUAACUGCGAGUGAAGCGGGAAGAGCUCAAAUUUAAAAUCUGACAGUCUUUGGCUGUCCGARUUGUAAUCUAKAGAAGUGCUAUCCGCRCUGGACCGUGUACAAGUCUCCUGGAAUGGAACAUCAUAGAGGGUGAGAAUCCCGUCUCUGACACGGACUUCCAGGGCUUUUGUGAUACKCUCUCAAAGAGUCGAGUUGUUUGGGAAUGCAGCUCUAAAUGGGUGGUAAAUUCCAUCUAAAGCUAAAUAUUGGCGAGAGACCGAUAGCGAACAAGUACCGUGAGGGAAAGAUGAAAAGAACUUUGGAAAGAGAGUUAAACAGUACGUGAAAUUGUUGAAAGGGAAACGCUUGAASUCAGUCRCAUUGACUAKGGAUCAACCUUGCUUCUUUGCUUGGUGUACUUCCUASUUGAUGGGCCAGCAUCAAUUUUGACCAGUGGAUAAAGGUCARSGGAAUGUGGCAUCUUCGGAUGUGUUAUAGCCUUUGAUUGUAUACAUUGGWUGGGAUUGAGGAACUCAGCAUGCCGUAAGGCCGGGUUUCGACCACGAUCAUGCUUA